rnacentral:lncRNA from 1 species
ACAAUUAAUGGUAGAUUUAACAGUUUGACUAAUAGAUGUAUGAGACUGUCCCAAAAUUGACACUUUAGGUACGACUCUGAGACGAACAAAACGUGGAUGACACAUGGGGCCCAGUCAUUGUCUACAUGGGCGCCACGUCACAAUUAACGGCAGAUUUAACAAUUUGACUAACGGAUGUAUGAGACUGUCCCAAAAUUUACACUUUAGGUAUGACUCUGAGAAGAAAAAAACUUGAUGUACUAAAUGUUGAAAACCACGAAACAUGAGAGUAGUAAACAGUCUUUUACCCUAUUUUUUAAUACAUUGAUAUAAUGUUAAACUAAAAAGAGGAAGAGUUUGACUAAGCUAUACAAUGGAUAACCUAAUUUAGUAUCGAAUUCGCCAUCCAUGAGAUUCAAACCUAAGACCUCUCAUUUCCAAGUGAAGAAGAAUAUCACUAGACCGUAAUACUAGGUGGCUAUUCAAAAUAAUGUUAGGUGAAUCAAAUGUCUCCUUAGUAAUUUUCAAUUUGUAAAUCAUGUGAUAUCUCAUUAAUAUUAAUAAACACGCUAUUCAACACUUAAAGUUUAUAAAUAACCACGUCACAAUAGUUAUAAAAUAUAAUUUAAACAGAAUUUCUACUUUGAGUAAUUUUUUUUUUGGUCAGUUACUUUGUGUAAUCUAGUAUUACCUUUUUAUUCACAUCUCUCUUAUUUAAAUUUUAAAAUUUUUAUUAUUUACUUAUUCACAUUCUUCUUUUAAAUUUUUCAAAGUCAAAAUUUUUAUUUUGGGAUGGGUCCUGACUUGGAUAACAAGAACUUUCAUGAAAUAGAUUCAUCGUCGUGUGAUGUCGAUUCAAGUGCAUUCUCGUAUGUAAUAUUUUUUCUUACUUUUUUUUUUUGGAGUAAUUUUUUUUCCUAUUGUAAUAUGUA